rnacentral:rRNA from 1 species
UACGUAGGUGACAAGCGUUGUCCGGAUUUACUGGGCGUAAAGAGCGCGCAGGCGGUCGUUCAAGUCGAGUGUGAAAGCCCCCGGCUCAACUGGGGAGGGUCACUCGAUACUGAUCGACUCGAAGGCAGGAGAGGGAAGUGGAAUUCCCGGUGUAGUGGUGAAAUGCGUAGAUAUCGGGAGGAACACCUGCGGUGUAGACGGCUUACUGGACCGUAACUGACGCUGAGGCACGAAAGCGUGGGGAGCAAACAGG